rnacentral:lncRNA from 1 species
AUAGAUAUGCAAAGUUUGAAUCUCAUAAUCUCCAUUAAGGAGCAAUAUGAAGUCAUUGGGCAUAUCCAUAUUGGAGGUGUGAAUCUUUCUUUGAUAUUAAAUAAUCUAUGGAGGUAUAAGAAAUUAAUCCUGAUAUCCUUAUGUCAUAUACAAGCUUGACACCUUCAAAGACUCCUGAAGCUUAUACUACAUAACCCAACAUACAUUAACGUUGCACAUAAAACCUUUACCUAAUUACUACGUGUAGUUUCUAAUCAAGCC